rnacentral:rRNA from 1 species
ACGGAGGGGGCUAGCGUUAUUCGGAAUUACUGGGCGUAAAGCGCACGUAGGCGGCUUUGUAAGUCAGAGGUGAAAGCCUGGAGCUCAACUCCAGAACUGCCUUUGAGACUGCAUCGCUUGAAUCCAGGAGAGGUGAGUGGAAUUCCGAGUGUAGAGGUGAAAUUCGUAGAUAUUCGGAAGAACACCAGUGGCGAAGGCGACUAACUGGACAUGUAUUGACGCUGAGGUGCGAAAGCGUGGGGAGCAAACAGGA